rnacentral:lncRNA from 1 species
GAUCCUUUUUUGGGUGGCGUUCCCGAUAGGAGUCUGCGUAUCCGGACAGUGGGGCGCCUCUCAAACUCGGGCCCCGGCGGCGUCCAGGGGUGCGGAGGAAUGCGUUACUGUCCCCGCUUAUGACUCCUGCCGUGGGAAAACAAACUUCAAAACGGACGCGGUUUGCCACGUAACAUGUCAUGGAUUGCAUUAGCGUCGCACGGGCAAUUCCAUCACCUAAUGUGCUAAAGUUGGCUCAAAUGUUCCCCACUCUGCAAGAAGCAGAUGAGUUCAUUACGAUUUCACCCUAAUAAAGAAAACCUGCUUGAUUUUGACAAGACAUCGACUUAUCUAAUCGUCUCCUAAAUAACAAAGCUGCUUCCCGCCCGUAAAACACGCUCCCGAACACCGGCUUUACCUGGACUGCUUCUAAAUUAAUGAAAAACACUCGAAUCCAAAGAGAGCAAAAGAAGAAGGGGGGGGGGCGGUGGAGAGAUGGAAUUCAAGGGAUUUUUGAAAAUGUGACUGAUUUUGAAAAGAACGAGUUUUGAAAUGUUUACUUUGUGGUGGUUUGAAAUUUUUACAUCUUUCAACAAAGCGCGCGGGGAAGUGAAACCAUCUGAAAGGGCUUUUGAAAAGAGCGAUUCAGCACCAGCCGGACGAGGCUGUGGUUCCUUUAUCUCGGGCAAUCUGUGCCCAUCGUGCAGGAGGCAGGCCCAGCCCUUUCCCCCCUCCGCUCCGCCUGAGCUCUGAGGCUGCCUGGGCCUGGGCUUCAAAGCGCUCUUGGCCGAGUGUCCUGGGAGGGAAUCAGACACCGCACUCCGGGGACGCGCUGCCGGCUCGCUCUUAUCCUUGAGCACGACCGCCUGAUGCGGUCAUCUUGUUAGUCAUGGAAAGCCCGGGGUCUUUCUGUGUGUACCGCUUUCAGCACUUAUUAAGCAAAAAGUGGGAGGCUUUACGCAAAACUGCAAAAGAUGUUUUUUCUCCCCAGGGCCACAGCAGUUGGGGCCACGGCUUAUCCAUCAUUGCAAAGAUCUCUCCGAGAGAAAUGAAACAAGUCAGCUCUGCCCAGAGGGGGAGAAAGCUGAACGGCGCAUGGGGCCGCCCGUCCCAGGACCUUCUUGGCUUGGCUCCUGUGGAAGGGCGUGGGCUCCUUCGUCUGAAAACUGCCAAGGGAAUGCAGCCACACGGCUUAAGAGAAAUGGCGCAUCCCUGUGGUUUGGUGUCCAAGUGGACCAUUCAGGACGCUCAACUCAGAUUCCUUCCCAAACUUUGUCCAGCUCCAAGACCAACAGGGGGCUUCCACUGCAGAGGUCCAGACACCUGCACAGAUGUGUCCCUGCUGGGGGGAGGGGGUGGUGGUGAAGGUGGAAACACCGUUUCUAAGCAGCUCCUUAGAAGUGAACAAAUUCUGGUACCUCCGCGUUGUCUCGGGAACCUGCCUCUUUCCUGCCGUCUGUGCUCCCAUCCUCCCAGUGGGGGGGCUGUGGAUUCUCCAACAGGCCCAGGUAGAAUUCUGAGGUCAUCGGAGUCCCUCCUUCAAGCCUCAGUUCUAUCAGUAUCAAACUUCUGGGGAGACUUCAGGGGAAGCAGCAAGUUUGAGCCAAGAACGCAGAAUUGGAAUUCUCUGAUAAAUCCCUCCCAGCUGAGCCGGGAGGGUCUGUAGUUGGCUCAGCAAGCAGGGACGGCAGGAAGGGGCUGGUGCUGGGAAACUUCAAACAGACCUGGGGUGGCGGGGAGGCUGUGCUGAGGGAGGAGGCCACCGACAGAGGGCUCAGUUAAUUAAAGAGAUGCGUGGGCACACCUAUAGGCUCAGCCCUCUUGGUGUUAAAGCGCCAGCAACUCAAGUUCUGUGCAGGGACUCCCUCCCCCAGGGGGAGGCCUGGAAGCGGGGGAAGCCUCGAGCCACAUUUAGGAUGGACAUUUGCAGUCUUCUGGAAAGCCCCAGCCAGGGGUCCUUGGCCCUUCCACCAAGAGUUCCAAGGGAGCCGAGACUGUUUAAAAGCCUCCUUAAGCAUCAAGGGGUCUCCUGUGUUGCAGGCACUGGGCUGCACAUCACCUGGGAGAGGUAGGGGUCAUCAUAUCUCCCAUUUUACAGAUGAGGGAAGUAAGGCUCAGAAGUCACCAGCUCAAGUGCCUAUGGCUGGUGUGUGGGAGAGGCCCGGCUGGAGCUAGGAUUCUCUGACUUAUGCCACUGGCUGGAGCUGGGGACAGGACAGAGACCAGCAAAGGACAGGUGAUGGCUGCUUCCAUCCGGCCCUCACCUUGGCCCGCCCUUCACACUGUCCUUGACAUUCAAUCAGGUGCCUGUGAUGUCUGGCCCAGAGGUUGGGGCUGGGCCUCCCCAGCUUCCCAGCGACAAAUGGUUCUCAUUUGAAAGGGAGGUUAUAAAAACACAUGCCCAGAGACACUGUCAGGGAACUGAGGAUUAAUCUCAUUUCAGUCAAAGACCAUUCCAAAUAUUUUGGGGGUGGAAUGGGGCGGGCAGCAGCCUGGGUUGGGAAGGAAGUCAGGGAUCCUGGUGUGGCCCUCGGGUCAGCCGGUUCAGAGGCACGUUGGGAUGUGGGCUGGUGGGGG